GACAAAUCCACUUAUAUGGUUUGGUGCAAUCUUAUGUAUGAUAUUCAGCCUCUUCCUAAUCUUCUUUGGAAUAGCGACUUUAGUAAUCUUUCUUGAUGUUAAACCAAGGACUCCAGUGUUUGACACCCCCGCAGCAACCCUGAAUGUCAUAUACUUUAAUUCUCCCGAUUUUCUAAACGGAGAUGUAAUAUUUCUUGCAAAUUUUUCAAACCCAAAUAGGAAAUUGAAUGUUAAAUACGAGUACCUGGAUAUCAAGCUUUUCUUUUCAGAGACUCUAAUAGCAGUUCAAGCUCUUCAACCGUUCAGUCAAAAUCCUGGAGAAUCACGAUUGAUGUCGGUCCACUUGAUAUCUAGCUUGAUUCAUCUGCCACCAAAUACUGUUCUGGAACUUCAAAAGCAGGUGCAGAGAAAUAGGGUAGCAUAUGAUAUACGAGGCACUUUUAGAGUGAAAGCUAAGCUAGGAAUUUUUCAUUUUUCUUACUGGUUGCACGGGAGAUGCAAAGUAGAGAUGAC
rnacentral:lncRNA from 1 species